rnacentral:misc_RNA from 1 species
AACGCACGAGACCUGCGGACCUGCGGAGGGAUCAUUACCGAGUUUACAACUCCCAAACCCCUGUGAACUUAUACCUUUACUGUUGCUUCGGCGGGUCAUUGCCCCGGGGAAACAGGUGCCGCCAGGUCCCUGCCCCCCCGGAAACAGGCGCCCGCCGGGGGACUCAAACUCUUCUGUAUUUUUUGUUUACUGUAUACUGUCUGAGUAAAAAUUCAUAAUGAAUCAAAACUUUCAACAAUG